GUCUUUGUGCGGUAUUGUUUGUUGUAAGUGCUUGUGCACAUGUUUGACUGGUGCGUGACUGGUUUUGUACCCAUUUAUUUUGUAUUCUGAGGCUGUUGGUUGUAUUAUUAAACUUCUCCGGCUACUACCUAGUUCUUCUCUCCUGCGUCUGACUUCCCUGCCACCAGUUACGCACCCCUUACAUCAUUACUGUCACACCCUGACCAUAGUUUGCUUUGUAUGUUUCUAUGUUUUGUUUGGUCAGGGUGUGAUCUGAGUGGGCAUUCUAUGUUGUGUGUCUAGUUUGUCUGUUUCUGUGUUUGGCCUGAUAUGGUUCUCAAUCAGAGGCAGGUGUUAGUCAUUGUCUCUGAUUGGGAACCAUAUUUAGGUAGCCUGUUUGGUGUUGGGGUUUGUGGGUGAUUGUUUCCUGUCUUUGUGUCUAUGCACCAGAUAGGUCUGUUUCCACACGUUGUUUUGUAAAUUGAAGUGUUCAGUUUGGAUUUAUUAUUAAUUAAAUAAGAUGAACACUCACCACGCUGUGCUUUGGUCCUCUCCUUCCCAGGAAGAAAGCCGUUACACUCACCUCUUGCCUGCUUACCAAUGGUCACAGAUGGGAGAACAGAAUUAAUUGCAUGAGAUGCAGUGAGACCUGGCCCUCAACACAUCUACAAUAAGAUGAUUACUAAUAAUACAGUAGGGCACAAAUGUCCAGCAAUAGCAACAGCCUUUUCAUUCCACAUGUCAUUGAUGAACUCUGCCUCAACUCUGCCUAUUUCUUCAUGUGGACUGGAGAUGCUUUUGCCAGAUGGCAGCCUCAGUUGUUUGAUGUGGAGGCCAUAAUUGGGAAUGUUUUAUCUGACCUGUUCAAACUUCAACAUAGCACCUGUUUGUGUGUCAGAUAUUACCUAUCCUAACUGCCGUUGGUAGUGACAAUGUGUGUAUGUGUUCACAGAAACAUGUAUAGAGAUGGGCUUGAUAUUGAUGUCUCUGAAUGGAGAGAGACCUGACACUCGGUAUACAUUUUUUAAUAGACAACUUUUAAUUGUAUUGACUUUUUAAAUUAUUAUUGAAUUGAAUGGUAUCAGUCAGUAUGGGGAGGGAAAAACCCUGUGUAUUCUGCACCCGGAUCAGGGAAAUCCUGUUGUAUACGGGACACCACACAGGAAGGUACUGUAUGACCACUCGGACAUGUUUGCCAAGAUAGCCACAUUACCACUAGACAAAAUGCCGAUAGGCACAGUAUCUGUAUCAGCUGGGAAUGACAAUUAUCAGGAGACAGGCCAGUACAUCAGAAGACGUGGAGGAGGCCGUAGGAGGGAAACAACCCAGCAGCAGGACCGCUACCUCCGCCUUUGUGCAAGGAGGAGCACUGCCAGAGCCCUGCAAAAUGACCUCCAGCAGGCCACAAAUGUGCAUGUGUCUGCUCAACCGGUCAGAAACAGACUCCAUGAGGGUGGUAUGAGGGCCCGACGUCCACAGGUGGGGGUUGUGCUUUACAGCCCAACACCGUGCAGGACGUUUGGCAUUUGCCAGAGAACACCAAGAUUGGCAAAUUCGCCACUGGCGCCCUGUGCUCUUCACAGCUGAAAGCAGGUUCACACUGAGCACAUGGACAGAGGAGCCUCUUAAAGAAGAAGUUACAGGUCUGUAGAGCCAGAAAUCUUGCUUGUUUGUAGGUGACCAAAUACUUAUUUUCCACCAUAAUUUGCAAAUAAAUUCAUUAAUUCAUU